UACGGGGGGUGCAAGCGUUGUCCGGAAUCACUGGGCGUAAAGGGCGCGUAGGCGGCUCGGUAAGUAGGGGGUGAAAUCCUGCGGCUUAACCGCAGGGCUGCCUUCUAAACUGUCGAGCUCGAGCACGGUAGAGGCAGAUGGAAUUCCACGUGUAGCAGUGAAAUGCGUAGAGAUGUGGAGGAACACCGAUGGCGAAGGCAGCCCCCUGGGCUAACACUGACGCUCAUGCACGAAAGCGUGGGGAGCAAACAGG
rnacentral:rRNA from 1 species